GCAGUUGUCUAGUUUAACAGUCGGAUCAAAAUAUGCCUGUACUGGACAAGUGUUGGGAGCCGCAGCCCCGAGCCCGGUCGCCUCACUUGGCGGACGUGAGGCCUGUAGUAAAGAGUAAAGCCUGAGGUAGAUUACCCCUCCCAUCGAGCACGUUAGUUUCCUGCUUAAGCAACCCGCUCAACAAUAUAGUCUGCCUGGCAACUGAUGAUGUUAGCCAAUCAGCUUGCCUUGCUCACUUUAACAUGAUUGGACACUGUAUCCGUAUAUAUACUGGUGCCACCCCUGGGGGGGAAGAAGAAGCCCGGAAGUAGAAGCCCAGAAGGAGCCGCGGGGAGCGGACCAGAGGAGGCUUCGGCUGGGAGCGAUCCCAGGGCAGGCUGUACGGAGAAGAAAAAUAAAAAGAAAAGGUUGUCCACUGCCAGACUUUGUCGUGUGUCCUUCCUGCCGGCCGGGAGCGGACAUCGACAGACAAGCAGAACAACAAGGAGACAGAGAAACACUGAAGACAAAAUAAAAUCCAUUCCACAGCUGGGUGUGGCUGUACACACUUGCGAUCCAUCACUCUGGGAGGCCGAGGCAGAGGCCUACAAGUUUGAGCCCAGCCUGGGCUACAAAGUGAGCUCAAGGCCAGCCUGAACUGCACAGCGAGACCCUGUCUCAAAAUGCCAAAAAAAAAAGGACUCCCCUAAAUCAGGACUGGGAUGCUUAUCUCCUCCUGCCCUGAGACACCAGAAAGUCCAAGUUCAUCAGCCUUUGGACUCCGGGAUUUGCGCCAGUAGUCCAGUUUCACAGGCCUUUGGCCUGGGGCUGAGAGUUACACCGCCAGCUCUCCUGAUUUUCUGGCCUUCGAAUUUGAAUUAAACUGGACCAACAGCUUCCCUGGUUCUCAAGCCUGCAAAUAGUAUAUCAUGGGGCUUCUCAGUCUCCACAAUUCUGUGAGCCAGUUUCUCUAAUUAUCCAUCUAUCUAUCAUCAUCAUCGCUCAUCUUUCUAUCUACCUGUCAGUAUAUUUAUGUUUUGCUUUGCUGAGAACCCCGACUGCUCAAGAUUCAGUGAAGAAUGCCCAUUCCGGACGACGUUGCCUCUUCUCCUUCAGUCUGCCUCCCUCGCACCUCUCUGUGACCUUAACACUCAGCCCUUUACCCUGGGUUCCGCCCUGCAGGGUGACCCUUUCCCCGCAGCCGCCACCCCUGCCAGUUCCCUCUGCACAGGACGCCCACUCCUGGAGCUGGCCCUGCAGCACCUUCCUGGCAGGUACUUUGUUCUGGUCUCAGAUGCUUCUCUCUCAGCUGCUCCUAGAAAUGGUGGAUGCUGUUCUUCAGUGCCCUUGAGGGUGAUUUUUGUCUGCAGAGAUAACUAUUAAGAAGGUUUAUUUUGGGUUUUAAAAAUGGAGUCACUUAUUAAAAUUACAAAUUCAAAACCCUUGGUCCUUCCUUAGGCUUUUAUGUUCAGCUUACAAAUCUUAUUACUCUAUUUAUAAGCCUAAUAAAUGUUAACAAUAAUUUUUAAGGAGACCUUGAAUAAUGCUUGGUCCCAUUUACAAACUCAGCGAAUUAAACACCUUCAGCAUUGUGCAACUACAAUGAUAAAUUUAAACAUGCUUGAUUUCUUAUUUUUAAAGUAUUUCUCACUUAAACAAAGUCUUCCUAAGUACAAAAUAGUUCUUAUCAAUCUAGAAAAUUAAACUAAUAAAUAUAGCAAGCCUACAACUCACACGUUCCAAUUUUGUGCCUGACUUUAGGAAGGCUUCAACUUGAAAUCAUACAUCUUAAUCAAUUACUCCAUUACACACUUAAAUUGAGAGCUGCAAGGUUGCCAUCCUAAUGGGCCAAAUACUCUCAACCAUUACAAAUAUAUAAAAUGUCAUAUAGGAGUAGAUUGCUUCUCAUCACAAAGUUAUUAGUAUUAUGGCUUGGAUCGUCUUAGACUGUUCUGUACUUAAUUUUAAGUAACAAUAGUGAAUGCUUGUUUAGCAUUUUUCAUGUGCCGGAUCCUGGUUAAGUGCUUUUCACCUGUCACAUUGUAGCUCUUUCAUUUCUCCUGAUCCUUGUGUACAGACUUAAAGGGUCGGCAGGCAGCCUGGCAACACUCCGCAGGCCGCAGACUCCUUGCUCCCUUGCGUGCUGUCAAGAGUGACAGCUUCCGGUUCCUCUUCCUUCUCAUUGUCAGCGGGAGCGGCUUCCCUCUGAUCUCCUGGUCACUCGCUGUCAUCUUACAGAAUGAGCACAACAGCUAUUCACCAGAUGUUCCUUGCCAGCUAAUUUUCACACACACCCCCCCCCCCCGGUUGCAAAAUCCAGGAGCGGCGUUGCUAUUGCUUCCUAGUCUUUCCUUCUCCAUGUCUUCUCAGUUUCCUCCGAGGAGCCCUCCAGGGCCAGCACUCCACAAAAAUCACCUUCCUUCAUCUUCCCUGACCCGCAGCCCCACCACGGCCAUCACUUCUCUUGCUGAAGGCGCUGGUUCCAGGAUGCGGCUCCUCCUCGGAGGAUUUCCUCCUGCCUGGCUGGUGGCAUCACAUCCGCCGUGUCCUGUGUGCCUCCUGCUCUGCUGUCUGCAUGUUGGGAGUCCCGGCCUUUGUCCCUGCUGCUCUUCUCUUCCCUAAGGAUUCUCAUUCUCUUGCAGUGCCAUCCAACCAUUGGAUCUUCAGUCUAUUUAUUUAUAGGUCUGUGAGCUCCAAAUUUACCUCAGCAGCCCCAGAACUCUCAACUCUGUACUCCAGUAUCUAACCGUUUCCCAAACCUCUCUACGUGGGCAUCUCAAAAUAAACACAGCCAACGCUGUAUCGCUGGGCUUUCCCUCAAAGCUCACCUUACCUGAAACCUGCCUCUGUCCUCAGUUGGUGAGCAUCCUCCUCAUUGCUCAGGCUGAAAACUGUGGAUUUCUCUCUUUCUCUCUCCCUCUACAUGGCAGUCUUACUACUGCAAUCCUUUUUUUUUUUUUUGAACCACAGUGUGCCUCACUUGGAUUAUUACAAUAAACUCAUAGCUGGUCUCCCAGCUUCUACUGUGCCUAUUUUUAUAUUACUCUCAACAUGACAUCCAGAAGAACUUUUCAAAAAUGAGAAUCAGGGGCUGGCAUAAGCACCUGCCUUGCGAGUGUGCGGUUGCAAGUUCAAUCCCUGGUACCAAUUUAAAAAAAAAUGCAAAAAUGAGAAUCAGAUUGCAUCACUCUUUUGUUUAGAAUCUGCAGUGAUUCUUCAUUUCAUUCAGCGUAAAAGCCAAAGUUCUGCAGUGGUCUAUCAUGAUGUGACUCUUUUUCCUAAUUCUUUCGCUCCCACCUGGCUUAAACCACACUGGUUUUGUUUCUCCCACACUCCCAGGCAAGGGAGCUCCAACCACAGGGCUUUUGCACCAGCUGUUCCUUUGUUUGCAAUGCUCCUUUCUCAGAUACAAUUGAAUUCACUUGCUUAUCUCCUCCAAGUAUCUGCUCAGUUCUCAUCAUCUCUAUGAAGUCACCUUUAACCAUCCUAAAAACCUAGCAACCCACUCCCUUCCCCUCUUACUCUGCUCUACUCUUUUGUCUUUGGCACUUCUCUCCAGAAGUACAUCUAAUUUACUUGCUUAGAGUGUUUGCUAUGUGUCUCCUCCAUUCUCAAGGCUAGAAUCUUUAUCUCCCGAUGAUUACCAAAUUCCUAGCAUUCAGUAGAUACCCAGUAAAUACUUUCUGUAUGAACAAUCCCAUGGAAGAAGUACAAAUUUUAUUUCUGUUUUACACAUGAGGAAGCUGAGGCAUAAUGAAGAUAAGACACGUAUCCAAGAUUAUCCAGCCAAUACAUAGUAGAGUUGGAAUCUAUGUGCUCAACUGUAGAGCUGAGAAUUUGUGUGCUGAACUCCUUAAAACUGUGUCUUUCACACGUAAAAACCGGUGACUCUGCAGCUUCUCUCUGAGGUCCCAUCAUAGACACUGACACCACGUUCAGUAAUGGGCUGUUAGUAGGACAGUGGUUCCGAGUGGCUUAGCUGUGUAGUAGACGACACCAUCUAUGUUUACAUACAUCCACUCUGACGUUUGCAUGACAAGGAAAUCCCUGAAUGACACAGCUCCCAGAGCUCUCCUGCCACACCAUGCCCACAUCUCUGUCUUCUCUACUCAGAGGAGGAUGCACCUUCAAGUAUGUGGGCCUGGAUUUUGCGUAUCUUUUCUCUCAUACACUAUAUAAAAGUGACUUUCCUUUUUACAAUAAGGACUUCAACUGAAUAAGAUCUUUCACUCUGUCACACCCUUAUGGUGCUACACGCUGUGGACAGAACAUAAAUACCGCGAGGACUGUUAUUCUUGGGUGUCCAUUUGUUCCUUUCCGAUCCCCCACUGCCUACAACAGAAGAGGAGGCACUUCACUAAUAUUUGCAAAUGUUAUAUGGAUGAUAUUUGAGAUAGUAACCAGGCCAAUUUUAGCUGUUCUAUGUGAAGUUUUCUGCCUUGUUGCACUUUAUUACUUAGCUUUCUGCUUUCUGUUGCUAUGACAAAAUAUCUGAGAUAAUCAACUUAUGAAGAGGAAAGAGUUGUUUUGCCUCAUGAUUUCAGACGUUUCAGUGCCUGAUUUAUUGGCUCCAUGACUUCAGGGUCUGCACAAGACAAAAUAUCAUGACAGGGAGCAGCUGGUGAAGUCACUCGCUUCUUGGAAUCUGGAAAGCACAGAAAAGAAAGGGAGGAAAGGACUAGGUCCCUUCAGGGGCACCCACUUCCCUUGACCCUGGAUGACCUUUCUCCAGCUAGGCCUCACUUCCUGAAGCUGCCACCACCUUCCAGUAGCACCAUUAGCGGGGGGACCUCAUCUUGGAUGCAUGAACUUUUGGGGGGCACUUAACAUCUAAACCAUAACAAUACUGUCACAGGCACUAUCUGUUCUUUCUAUGAACACAGUGGAGUUCCUGCAGUGCCUGUGGCCGUCCGCAGGCUUAUGGGUCAUUGAGUAACUCCCCAGCUCCUUGGGUCUAAGUGGAGUCACCAGUCACUGUGCCCUGUCACCUCAGCCAUGAAGAAGAGGAGUGUGACCAACCGAGGACAAUCCCAAGAGCACAUCUUUUGGAUACAGCGAUUGAUUCAUCGGCAAUUCAAGCUGGGCAAUCAGCCAAUCAUUUUUAUUAUUGUCAUCAUUAUUAUUAUUGCUGCCAUUUGUAACAGGCCAGGCCAGCACUUACUGUUGUGUUUCACCAAGGAAUGAAGUAUAGGCUGCCAGGGAGGUCGCCUCUGAGAUUGCUACCUGAGAUUCUGGUGAUAUGCAGAUAUCUCAGUGUUCAUGCUGCUAGAACAAAAUCUCUGAGACUGGAUAAUUAAUAAAGGACAGAAAUUUACUUCCCAUGAUUAUGGAGGUCUAAAAUCAAGGUGCCAGCAGAUUUGGUAUUUGGUAAGGGUGUAAUCUCUGCUUUUUUUUUUUUUUUUUUUAAUUUUAAAGAGGAUAAAACCAAGGAAAAUAAAAUAAAACCUUCAAAACCUUAUGACAGCAACAAUAGUUACCAUAAUGCCUUUUGUUGUCUUUAAAAUAGCUGCAGAUUCCUUCGGACAUAGUAAAAGUCAAACAGAACAGAAUAGAAUAGAAGCAAUAAAAACAAAACAGUGAAUGCAAUAAAGGACUUCAAAACAAGCCAAUAGUAAAUCCAAAAUAGCUCCCAUAAUAUGUCUUGUUAUCUUUUAAAUAGCUGCUCAUGCCUGCAGAGUCAACGUAAGCAAACAAAACAAAAGAGAAUAAAACCCAACCCAACAAAGUAAUGAAAGUGAUACGGUUUCCAGGCAGGGAUCGCUCCCUGGUGAGGCCUUGUUCUUUCCCUCAUGGAGAGGGGCUGAGGUCAGGCUGUCCCCACUCCCGCAGUGGCCCGCACAUGGUGCUGGUUUCCGGGUGGGGAUCACCUCCUGGUGAGCCUGGUUUUCUCCCUCUGCAGUCCAUGAGUGGCCCCGAUUUCUGCUUUCAACAUGGUGACUUAUCAUUAUGUCCUCUAGUGGAGACAAAUGCUAUGCCUCACAUGAGGAAAGGGACAGAAGGACAACAAAAUCCUAGCGAGUUCCCUCUGACCCUUUAAUAAGGAUGCUGAUCCUAGACCCCUCAUGACUCCAUCAUCUCCUAAAGGCCCCGCCUCAUCAUCCUGCCACUGUGGGCCUCAGGUUCCAGAGGUUUGUCUUUUGGACACAUACAUUCAAACAACACAGGGACGGAGUGUGACACGAGAGAGGGGGCCAGGACACAAGGCAGAGAGACGGAGAAGAGAUGAGAAUCAGAGAGGGACCUGGGCCUUGUUUUACUAGACAUUUAAACCUUUUCUUGGACUGGUUUCUUCAGCUUUUCUGUUUCUUCUUGCAUGGAUUUUGGUAAUUUGUAUUUUGAUUAUCAGAAUUUCAUGGACUUACAUAUUUGUUGCUAUAAUGCUAUGUUUUAAAUCCUCUAGUCACUCCUGUAAUAAUAACUCUAGUUCCUUUCUCAUCCCUACAUGUGUUUUCUCUUUUUUUUGCUUCUUCUUUUUAUUUUAUUUUUUUGUCUGUCCAGGAACUCAAACCCAGGGUCUUCCACAUGCUAAGCAAAUGCUCUAAUAUCAUGCUACAUCCCUAGCCCAUCUUUGCGCUUCUAAAAAGUAUGUUCAAAGAGUUUUAAAAUUGAUAACUAGUUUUAAAAUUGAUCUUCCUGCCUGCUUUUUAGUUCUUUCUUUGCUACCUCAUCAAUUUCUUAUUUUGUCAUUAUUAAUUUUAUCCUACUUUCUUGUAUCUCAGUUGCUAGAUUCUCACUUUGGAUAUUUAUUCAUUUAUUUUUAGUUUUGUUAAUAACAUACUUCAGUGUUAUAAAUUAUCUUCUAAACACUGACAACUAUGUCGUAUAGGUCUUCUUAUAAUAUCUUUUUGUUAAUUAGAUUUUUAAACUCUAGUUUGAUUUCCUCUUUGAUCUAAGUACUUCCCCACUCAUUUUUCUGGCUAAUUCUUGCUCGUUCAAUUAGAUUUCAGCUUAGAAGUCUUCCUGAGCCCCAUUCUGCUUACAACUUCUUACUGUAAAUUCCAAUAGAAUCAAUAUUUCCUAAUACAUAGAGAUGACUAUUUGUGUGAUUGUCUGUUAACUUGUACUUUCUUAUAGACUCAUAAGCUCCCAGUGGAAAGGCUCAUGUUACCUUUUUCAUUGUUGUUUCCUUAGCAAAUAUGUGUCUGAUGCACAGGUGGUAUGUGAUGUGUAUUUAUUGAAUGCAUGGCUGGAAAAUAGUCAUCGGAGAGAAUGCCAAUCAUAUGACUCUUAGAGAGAAAUUGUAAUUUUUAAAAAGAAACGAUUAUUUAUACGUUUGUUCUUUGUCCUGCUAAUCCCUCUUCUGGGAUUGUAACCUAAAGAUACACUAAAAAAUAGCAAAAUGAUUUAUGCACAAA